rnacentral:rRNA from 1 species
GAGCUUUUUAUGGCACGCAUGGAAGCGGUCUGGUCGGCCCAGUNUGAANCCAUUAUUUUUCACNGUUGACCUCGGAUCAGGUAGGAGUACCCGCUGAACUUAAGCAUAUCAAUAAGCGGAGGAAAAGAAACCAACAGGGAUUACCCUAGUAACGGCGAGUGAAGCGGUCACAGCUCAAAUUUGAAAUCUGGCCUUGACCGGUCCGAGUUGUAAUUUGUAGAGGAUGUUUCGGGCAAGGCUCUGGUUUAAAUUUCUUGGAACAGAAUGUCAUAGAGGGUGAGAGUCCCGUCUAGAACCGGGGGCCGCGUCCAUGUGAAACUCCUUCGACGAGUCGAGUUGUUUGGGAAUGCAGCUCAAAAUGGGUGGUAAAUUUCAUCUAAAGCUAAAUAUUGGCCAGAGACCGAUAGCGCACAAGUAGAGUGAUCGAAAGAUGAAAAGUACUUUGAAAAGAGAGUUAAACAGUAUGUGAAAUUGUUGAAAGGGAAGCGCUUGCAACCAGACUUGCGUGUGACGGUUCCCCCGGUCUUCUGACCGGGCUACUCCGUCAUGUCCAGGCCAGCAUCGGUUCGGGUGGUUGGUUAAAGGCUCCGGGAAUGUAUCUACCUCCGGGUCGACUUAUAGCCCGGGGUGUAAUGCGGCCUACCCGGACCGAGGAACGCGCUUUUGCUCGGAUGCUGGCGUAAUGGUUGUAAGCGGCC